rnacentral:lncRNA from 1 species
CCAAGGAAGAGAAAUUGUUAGAGGAAAGAGGCACCCCAGUAAGACCAAGAACAGUUAGGACAUAUGUUGAUACAAUACAAAAAUGUAGCCCAUGGCUUUUUAAAGAUGAGUUAUUAAGUAUAUUAAUGGGACCAUCAUGGUAUCCUGUAGAAGGAUUUUUCUUCAACAAGAAAGAGAUAGCUAAUUCUGUUUACUACACUUGUAUAAGAUCUUGGUUUUUACAGACAUCUGAU